CUCGGGCUCCGGCCCCGGCCUUCAUAAACCCCCGUUCAAAUUUCCGGACAGCUCCUCUGACGGAUCGCAGUGUAACCGGGUGGACUUCCGUUGUUCGCCGUACGAAGAAGCUUCCGAGUUCCAAGAUGUCCGCGAUUCAGUCCGAGUUCGACCCUGGAGUAUCUGGGGGGCCGCCGUUCGGGAUCGGGGAAUACGCCUUUGCCGACGCUGGGAACCUGGAGCAUUGCGCCAAGUACCUUAACCAGACGCUGGUGACCUUCGGAUUCCCCGCCUCCCUCGAUCUCUUUGCUGCUGAUCCCGUUUCGAUCGCAAGGACAUGCAAUUGCAUCUAUUCUCUGCUUCAACAAAGGCAGCGCGACAUUGAGUUUAGGGAGUCAUCGAAUGAGCACAGGCAGAGAUUGCAGUCAGAUAUAUCAAGAUUAGAGGCCAAGGUUGAAAGGCUUGAGUCACAAUUAGCUGCAAAAGAUCGAGAGCUAGCCACUUUAACCCGAAUGGAGGCUAAACAUACUGCAGCUCUGAAGGCUCAACUUGAAAAGCUGCAGCAGGAACGUGAUGAAUUUCAGAGAAUGGUCAUUGGUAAUCAGCAAGUGCGCACGCAACAAAUACAUGAAAUGAAGAAAAAAGAGAAGGAAUAUAUAAAACUGCAGGAGAGGCUAAACCAAGUGUUAAUGGAGAAAAAGAAGGAAUCUCGGUCAGGGAUGGAAAUAAUGAACUUACUGCAGAAAGAAGGGCGUCAGCGUGGAACGUGGAACGGAAAGAAGGCGGACAGUGAUUUCUAUAAAAUGAUUGUUGAUGCAUAUGAAGUAAAGAAGCAAGAGCUGAUGUCAGAGAAUGCUGAUUUGCGGGCUUUACUACGUUCUAUGCAGGUGGAUAUGCGGGACUUUUUAAAUGCUCCAAAUGGGUUGUCCCAACAAACUGCUGUCAAUGAAAAACAAGAGGCAGGGUCUCCUCAGUCUCCCUUAGGUAGCAGGACGGAUGUCUUUGAUCUACCUUUCCACAUGGCCAGAGAUCAAAUAGAAGAGAGCUUGCGAACUAAGAUGGCUUCAAUAAAGGCACGGAUGAUACAACUUCAAGAUGCACAAAAAGGAGCAGAGGUGACCUCUGAAGCAACCGAGAGAGAGCUUGAACUUGAAGCUCAACUUGUUGAAGCUAGGAGUAUCAUUCAAGAGCAGGCUUCAAUAAUGUCCAAACAUUUUACAAAGUCUGAGAAGCCAAGGAGAUUGAGCAGCCAUUUAGAUGCUGAGAGAGAAGUGAUCCAUUCAGCAUCUGCGGAGGCGGUGUGAAAUCCAGGAUGCUCUAGUAUUUUGAUGGUAGUGGUGCAUGCUUUUGACUUGAUAUAAACUAAAUUUGCCUCUGAGCUCCAAGUAGCAGAGGUGACAGAAGCAUCAGAGCAGAAUCUUGUUUAACUUUUCAAUUGCAGGUACAGAGACUUGCAUGACUAAUCUUCCCCAUGGCCUGCCCAAUCUCUUAAUUUCAUGAAGAUAACUCCCGUCUGAUAGUUUCGUCAGCUCUGUGCCAGGAACUUCUUGCGGUUUUCCUGUCAUAGAGUUCUGGAGGCCCUCUCUUUGUUUUCUCUCCGUGCUCAACCACUUGUCUAUCUUAUGAAGUUCUUGUUCAAGUUCUCUAGCUCUUCUCCAGUAAGCUUGAACAACUGCUUCAUGAUUCUCAGAAAAAUUUGGAAUUAGAGGAGCCAAUAUGGAGUUAGAGGUGGCCUCUUGUUGAGAAAUGACUUGCAGAGUAGGGGGUUUGGGCUGUGGACAUGGUUGGGGAUGGGAAAGAGGACGGCGGAGUGAGAGGUAAGACUUGAUCUUUGAGCAGCCAGUGGACACUACUACAGGAGGAGAGGUGUGUUUCUUGCUGUCCGGCAUUGUAGCGUCUCUGUGCCAGUGGUUUGGCAGCCCUCGGCCUCUGCUUCUUGUUGAAGCUUUUUGGGGUUCUUUAAAGCCCGUUAAGUUGUUUGGUUGAAUGCUAUAUGCUGCAAAGUUGGAUUUUGUUG